CGGGAACCGUGAGACAGGUGCUGCAUGGCUGUCGUCAGCUCGUGUUGUGAAAUGUUGGGUUAAGUCCCGCAACGAGCGCAACCCUUAUCCUUUGUUGCCAGCGGUCCGGCCGGGAACUCAAAGGAGACUGCCAGUGAUAAACUGGAGGAAGGUGGGGAUGACGUCAAGUCAUCAUGGCCCUUACGACCAGGGCUACACACGUGCUACAAUGGCGCAUACAAAGAGAAGCGACCUCGCGAGAGCAAGCGGACCUCAUAAAGUGCGUCGUAGUCCGGAUUGGAGUCUGCAACUCGACUCCAUGAAGUCGGAAUCGCUAGUAAUCGUGGAUCAGAAUGCCACGGUGAAUACGUUCCCGGGCCUUGUACACACCGCCCGUCACACCAUGGGAGU
rnacentral:rRNA from 1 species